UCCCAGGGAAGCUCUCAGACCGGACACCAGGGUCUUAUCCCAGGGAAGGUCUCAGGCCGGACACCAGGGUCUUAUCCCAGGGAAGGUCUCAGGCCGGACACCAGGGUCUUAUCCCAGGGAAGGUCUCAGGCCGGACACCAGGGUCUUAUCCCAGGGAAGGUCUCAGGCCGGACACCAGGGUCUUAUCCCAGGGAAGCUCUCAGGCCGGACACCAGGGUCUUAUCCCAGGGAAGCUCUCAGGCCGG